AACCUGGUUGAUCCUGCCAGUAGUCAUAUGCUUGUCUCAAAGAUUAAGCCAUGCAUGUGUAAGCACACACUGUUUAAAAGUGAAGCCGCGAGUGGCUCAUUACAACAGCCACAGUUUAUUAGAACUUACAAUCAUGGAUAACUGUGGUAAUUCUAGAGCUAAUACACGCACAAAAACUUCAACUGAAUUGGUUGAAGUGCUUUUAUUAGAACAAAAACCGAACGGCGUUUGACGAAUGUUGAACGUCGAAACUGUUUGGUGAAUCUGAAUAACUAUUUCUGAUCGCAUGGUCUAGCACCGGCGACAUCACUUUCAAGUGUCUGCCUUAUCAACCUUCGAUGGUAGUCUAUGCGACUACCAUGGUGAUAACGGGUAACGGAGAAUCAGGGUUCGACUCCGGAGAGGGAGCCUGAGAAACGGCUACCACAUCCAAGGAAGGCAGCAGGCGCGCAAAUUACCCACUCCCAGCUUGGGGAGGUAGUGACGAAAAAUAACGAGACGAUUCUCGUUUGAGAAACGUUAUCGAAAUGAGUACGCUUUACACACGCUAACGAGUAGCAAUUGGAGGGCAAGUCUGGUGCCAGCAGCCGCGGUAAUUCCAGCUCCAAUAGCGUAUAUUAAAGUUGCUGCGGUUAAAACGCUCGUAGUUGAAUUGUGGUCUUAGACAACAGUCCCCCUACAUAGGUGUGGCACGGUUGCUCGAGAUCUUCAUUCGUGGUUGCUGUUGUUGCUCUUCAUUGAGUGUCAAUGGUGCCUCGAGAUUUUACUUUGAAAAAAUUAGAGUGCUCAAAGCAGGUUGUGAUGCCUGAAUAAUGGUGCAUGGAAUAAUAGAAUACGAUCUCGGUUCUAUUUUGUUGGUUUUCGAACCGGAGAUAACGAUUGAAAGGAACAGACGGGGGCAUUCGUAUUGCUGCGUUAGAGGUGAAAUUCUUGGAUCGCAGCAAGAUGAACAAUUGCGAAAGCAUUUGCCAAGAAUGUUUUCAUUAAUCAAGAACGAAAGUUAGAGGUUCGAAGGCGAUCAGAUACCGCCCUAGUUCUAACGGUAAACUAUGCCAACCAGCGAUUUGCCGAAGUUCAUUUAAGACUCGGCGAGCAGCUUCCGGGAAACCAAAGUGUUUCGGUUCCGGGGGAAGUAUGGUUGCAAAGCUGAAACUUAAAGGAAUUGACGGAAGGGCACCACCAGGAGUGGAGCCUGCGGCUUAAUUUGACUCAACACGGGAAAACUCACCCGGCCCGGACACUGGAAGGAUUGACAGAUUGACAGCUCUUUCUUGAUUCAGUGGGUAGUGGUGCAUGGCCGUUCUUAGUUGGUGGAGCGAUUUGUCUGGUUAAUUCCGAUAACGAACGAGACUCUACCCUAUUAAAUAGUGACAGUAUUGUAUUUUUUGUGCUGAUCACUUCUUAGAGGGACUGGCAAAUUGAAAGCUGCACGAAAAAGAGCAAUAACAGGUCUGUGAUGCCCUUCGAUGUCCGGGGCUGCACGCGCGCUACAAUGAAAGCGUCAACGUGAGUUACGUCCUUACCUGAAAAGGUUUGGCAAUCGAAUGAAACGUUUUCUUGAAUGGAAUAGGGAAUUGCAAUUGUUUCCCUUGAACGAGGAAUUCCCAGUAAGCGUGAGUCAUUAGCUCGCGUUGAUUACGUCCCUGCCCUUUGUACACACCGCCCGACGCUACUACCGAUUGGAUGAUUUAGUGAGGUGUUUUGACUGGCGCCAGUAGUCGGAUGUAUUCGGCUUCGCGCCGGGAAAUUUCCCAAACCAAAUCAUCUAGAGGAAGUAAAAGUCGUAACAAGGUUUCCGUAGGUGAACCUGCGGAAGGAUCAUUAUC
rnacentral:rRNA from 1 species